GGAGUUAGCCGGUGCUUCUUCUGUGAGUGAUGUCCUUCCUGCCGGCUAUUAACCCGCAGGCCUUCUUCCUCACUGAAAGUGCUUUACAACCCGAAGGCCUUCUUCACACACGCGGCAUGGCUGGAUCAGGGUUGCCCCCAUUGUCCAAUAUUCCCCACUGCUGCCUCCCGUAGGAGUCUGGGCCGUGUCUCAGUCCCAGUGUGGCUGAUCAUCCUCUCAGACCAGCUACGGAUCGUCGCCUUGGUGAGCCGUUACCUCACCAACCAGCUAAUCCGACAUAGGCUCAUCCGAUAGCGCGAGGCCCGAAGGUCCCCCGCUUUCCCCCGUAGGGCGUAUGCGGUAUUAGCCUGGGGUUUCCCCAGGGUUAUCCCCCACUACCGGGCAGAUUCCUAUGCAUUACUCACCCGUCCGCCGCUCGCCACCAGGGAGCAAGCUCCCCGUGCUGCCGCUCGACUUGCAUGUGUUAGUCCUGCCGCCAGCGUUCAAUCUGAGCCAUAAUCAAACUCUGA
rnacentral:rRNA from 1 species